rnacentral:rRNA from 1 species
UACGAAGGGGGCUAGCGUUGCUCGGAAUCACUGGGCGUAAAGCGCACGUAGGCGGAUUGCUAAGUCAGGGGUGAAAUCCUGGAGCUCAACUCCAGAACUGCCUUUGAUACUGGCGACCUUGAGUCCGGGAGAGGUGAGUGGAACUGCGAGUGUAGAGGUGAAAUUCGUAGAUAUUCGCAAGAACACCAGUGGCGAAGGCGGCUCACUGGCCCGGUACUGACGCUGAGGUGCGAAAGCGUGGGGAGCAAACA